rnacentral:rRNA from 1 species
GACGAACGCUGGCGGCGUGCUUAACACAUGCAAGUCGAACGGGGUCCAACCAGUCGCAAGACUGGCGAAGACCGAGUGGCGAACGGGUGCGUAACACGUGAGGAACCUGUCCCGAUCUCUGGAAUAACGAGUGGAAACAUUCGCUAAUACCGGAUGCCGUCGGACCAUCGCAUGGUGGACUGACGAAAGGGUUACCGGAUUGGGAGGGACUCGCGGCCUAUCAGCUAGUUGGUGAGGUAACGGCUCACCAAGGCGUCGACGGGUAGCUGGUCUGAGAGGAUGAUCAGCCACACUGGGACUGAGACACGGCCCAGACUCCUACGGGUGGCG